UACGUAGGGUGCAAGCGUUGUCCGGAAUUAUUGGGCGUAAAGAGCUCGUAGGCGGUUUGUUGCGUCGGCUGUGAAAUCCCGAGGCUCAACCUCGGGCCUGCAGUCGAUACGAGCAAACUAGAGUGUUGCAGGGGAGACUGGAAUUCCUGGUGUAGCGGUGAAAUGCGCAGAGUAUCAGGAGGAACACCGGUGGCGAAGGCGGGUCUCUGGGC
rnacentral:rRNA from 1 species